rnacentral:lncRNA from 1 species
CUUUUUUUUUCCAGUCAGUUUUUUCUUUGAUCUAUAGAACUCGCUUCUUUUCUCUGAAGUUUUCACAAUACAGCGUGAUAGAAGGAGCACAGUUUGAUUUUCAGCAAACCUUCAGAAGGCAAAAGGGAAAGUUUUCCCAUGGGCCAACAUGGAUUGUUUCUGUAAUAGUCUGCUCAGGCUUCUACAACAAGAUGUCACAGGCUGGGUCACCUAAACCAUGAGUGUUCAAACCCCAGCCAUGGAUCAGUAUGGGUCAGUGGCCUGUUAGGAAUCAGGCCACGCAGCAGGAGGUGAGUGGUGGACAAGUGAGCAUUACAGCCUGAGCUCCGCCUCCUGUCAGAUCAGCAGUGGCA